rnacentral:rRNA from 1 species
AUACGGAGGGUGCAAACGUUGUUCGGAAUCACUGGGCGUAAAGGGCGCGCAGGCGGUUUGAUUAGUCAGAUGUGAAAGCCACGGCUUAACCGUGGAAGUGCAUUUGAAACUGUCAGACUUGAGUACCAGAGGGGGUAGUGGAACUCCCGGUGUAGAGGUGAAAUUCGUAGAUAUCGGGAGGAAUACCGGUGGCGAAGGCGACUACCUGGCUGGAUACUGACGCUGAGGCGCGAAAGCGUGGGGAGCAAACAGGAUUAGAUACCCCGGUAGUCC